UACAGAGGCCCCAAGCGUUACUGAGAAUCACUGGGUUUAAAGGGCGCGUAGGCGGCCGGGUUGGUCGUGGGUGAAAUCCCCCAGCUUAACUGGGGAACUGCCUACGAUACUGCCUGGCUCGAGGGAGGAAGGGGCGGUCGGAACUGUCGGUGGAGCGGUGAAAUGCGUUGAUAUCGACAGGAACGCCGGUGGCGAAAGCGGACCGCUGGCCCUCUUCUGACGCUGAGGCGCGAAAGCCAGGGGAGCGAACGGG
rnacentral:rRNA from 1 species